ACCUGGGUGGCUCAGUCGGUUGAGCGUCUGAUUUUGGCUCAGAUCAUGAUCCCAGGGUU
rnacentral:tRNA from 1 species